rnacentral:rRNA from 1 species
CAGUCGAACGAAGCACUUUAUUUGAUUUCCUUCGGGAUUGAUUAUUUUGUGACUGAGUGGCGGACGGGUGAGUAACGCGUGGGUAACCUGCCUUGUACAGGGGGAUAACAGUUGGAAACGGCUGCUAAUACCGCAUAAGCGCACAGCAUCGCAUGAUGCAGUGUGAAAAACUCCGGUGGUAUAAGAUGGACCCGCGUUGGAUUAGCUAGUUGGUGAGGUAACGGCCCACCAAGGCGACGAUCCAUAGCCGACCUGAGAGGGUGACCGGCCACAUUGGGACUGAGACACGGCCCAAACUCCUACGGGAGGCAGCAGUGGGGAAUAUUGCACAAUGGGCGAAAGCCUGAUGCAGCGACGCCGCGUGAGCGAAGAAGUAUUUCGGUAUGUAAAGCUCUAUCAGCAGGGAAGAUAAUGACGGUACCUGACUAAGAAGCACCGGCUAAAUACGUGCCAGCAGCCGCGGUAAUACGUAUGGUGCAAGCGUUAUCCGGAUUUACUGGGUGUAAAGGGAGCGCAGGCGGUGCGGCAAGUCUGAUGUGAAAGCCCGGGGCUCAACCCCGGUACUGCAUUGGAAACUGUCGUACUAGAGUGUCGGAGGGGUAAGCGGAAUUCCUAGUGUAGCGGUGAAAUGCGUAGAUAUUAGGAGGAACACCAGUGGCGAAGGCGGCUUACUGGACGAUAACUGACGCUGAGGCUCGAAAGCGUGGGGAGCAAACAG